rnacentral:piRNA from 1 species
UGAAGUGUCAACACAGGCUGAGA